AUGAACGCUGGCGGCGUGCCUAAUACAUGCAAGUCGAGCGAACAGACGAGGAGCUUGCUCCUCUGACGUUAGCGGCGGACGGGUGAGUAACACGUGGAUAACCUACCUAUAAGACUGGGAUAACUUCGGGAAACCGGAGCUAAUACCGGAUAAUAUAUUGAACCGCAUGGUUCAAUAGUGAAAGACGGUUUUGCUGUCACUUAUAGAUGGAUCCGCGCCGCAUUAGCUAGUUGGUAAGGUAACGGCUUACCAAGGCAACGAUGCGUAGCCGACCUGAGAGGGUGAUCGGCCAAACUGGAACUGAGACACGGUCCAGACUCCUACGGGAGGCAGCAGUAGGGAAUCUUCCGCAAUGGGCGAAAGCCUGACGGAGCAACGCCGCGUGAGUGAUGAAGGUCCUCGGAUCGUAAAACUCUGUUAUUAGGGAAGAACAAAUGUGUAAGUAACUAUGCACGUCUUGACGGUACCUAAUCAGAAAGCCACGGCUAACUACGUG
rnacentral:rRNA from 1 species